GGGCCCGCACAAGCGGUGGAGUAUGUGGUUUAAUUCGAUGCAACGCGAAGAACCUUACCAGGGUUUGACAUCCUGCGAAUCUCUUGGAAACAGGAGAGUGCCUUCGGGAACGCAGUGACAGGUGGUGCAUGGCUGUCGUCAGCUCGUGUCGUGAGAUGUUGGGUUAAGUCCCGCAACGAGCGCAACCCACGUCUUUAGUUGCCACCAUUUAGUUGGGCACUUUAAAAGAACUGCCAGUGAUAAGCUGGAGGAAGGUGGGGAUGACGUCAAGUCCUCAUGGCCCUUAUGUGUUGGGCUACACACGUGCUACAAUGGUACUUACAAUGGGAAGCAAAGAGGCGACUCUUAGCUAAUCCCUAAAAUGUACCUCAGUUCGGAUUGUACUCUGUAACUCGAGUGCAUGAAGCUGGAAUUGCUAGUAAUCGCGGAU
rnacentral:rRNA from 1 species